UCUCUGUUAUGUAACAGCAGGUGCAUUGUGGGACAUGAGGAGGUGACCGUGGUCGAUUAGGAACGACAGUAAAUCUGAGCUCGUUUAAUCCUUGUCACCACGGCAACCACCCAGCUGACACACACAAACACACGCACACACACACACACACAAAAGUUAUUGAUUGGGAUCAGGCCCCACCCCUGAUCUGUGAUGUCACAGAUACUGCAGGAAUUUGAUUGGCUGUGCUGAAGGAGGCAGUAAUAGGCGGAAGUGUUACAUAACAGAAGGUGUUUGAUACAUCAAUCAGCAGGAGAGGAGGAGGAAGAAUGGAGGAAAUGAAGGCGAAGGAAACAAAAGGAGGGAAGGAAAGAGGGAGGAAAGAUUAGUAAGAGGAGGGGAGAUGGAGAAACAAGGAGGAAGCAAAUAAUGUCAGAAGGAUUGAAUAAAGGAAGAUAAGCUGUAUUUGGGAAGAGGAAAGGAAGGAUGGGAGGGAAGGAGGGAGGGAGAAAGGGGGUGAAGUGACGAAAGCAAGGUCAGGAAGGAGAGAAGGACAAAGAAACAAAGGAAGGGAUGAAGGGACAAAGAGGAAAAGAAGGACAGAUGCACAGAAGGGAGAAAGAAAAUUAGGAAGACACGGAGGAGAAAUAAAUCGGAGAAAAGAUGGAGAAUGAAGGACAAAGAUAAGUAAAGGAAGACAUAAGAAACAAGGAAAGUAAGGAUGAAGGACUGACAGGCCUAGAGGAAGAAGGCAGGAAGUAAAAAAAUGAUGGAAGAAAAAAAGAGGAAGGAUGAAUAAAAGAGGAAAGACGGGCAGACAGAGGGGAAAUGGGGGAGGAAAGGGAGAGUAGGAAGGAGGGGUGAGAUGGGGAACAAAGGAACAUAGUGGGGUGAGGGAGGAGGGGGGUCAGCAGCAGGAUAAUCUGGGGCACUGGAGACCACGUGGCCGUCACCGUGACAACCGUCUCCCUGUGGGUCAGAGAGGAGGAGGGCUGUGAUUGGCUGAAUGCUGCGUGUGAGAGUGGAUCAAACAGGAAGGAUGAGUGAGACAGAGAGCUGCAGGACGAACACUGAAUUCUCGCCGCUCUGCAUCCUGGAAGGGAU